rnacentral:rRNA from 1 species
GAUGAACGCUGGCGGCAUGCCUAAUACAUGCAAGUCGAGCGAACAGACGAUGAGCUUUCUCCUCUGACGUUAGCGACGGGCGGAUGAGUAACACGUGCAUCACCUACCUAUAUUACUGGGAUAACUUCGGGAAACCGCAUCUACUACCGGCGCAUAUAUUGAACCGCAUAGUUCAAUAGUGAAACACGGCUUUGCUGACACUUAUAGAUGAAUCCGCGCCGCAUUAGCUAGUUGGUAAGGUAACGGCUUACCAAGGCGACGAUGCGUAGCCGAUCUGAGAGGGUGAUCGGCCACACUGGAACUGAGACACGGUCCAGACUCCUACGGGAGGCAGCAGUAGGGAAUCUUGGGCAAUGGGCGAAAGCCUGACGCAGCAACGCCGCGUGAGUGAUGAAGGUCUUCGGAUCGUAAAACUCUGUUAUUAGGGAAGAAAAAAUGUGUAAUUAACCACGCACGUCUUGACGGUACCUAAUCAGAAAGCCACGGCUAACUACGUG